CUACGAAAGGUGCAAGCGUUGUUCGGAUUUACUGGGCGUAAAGAGAGUGUAGGUUGUUUAUUAAGUCGGAUGUGAAAUCCCGGGGCUCAACCUCGGAACUGCAUUCGAUACUGAUAGGCUAGAGUUUGGGAGGGGUAAGCGGAAUUCCGUGUGUAGCAGUGAAAUGCGUAGAUAUACGGAGGAACACCUGAGGCGAAGGCGGCUUACUGGACCAAUACUGACACUGAGACUCGAAAGCGUGGGUAGCAAACAGGAUUAGAAACCCUAGUAGUCC
rnacentral:rRNA from 1 species